rnacentral:rRNA from 1 species
AUUGAACGCUGGCGGCAUGCUUUACACAUGCAAGUCGAACGGUAACAGGCCGCAAGGUGCUGACGAGUGGCGAACGGGUGAGUAAUGCAUCGGAACGUGCCCAGUCGUGGGGGAUAACGCAGCGAAAGCUGCGCUAAUACCGCAUACGAUCUAAGGAUGAAAGCGGGGGACCGAAAGGCCUCGCGCGAUUGGAGCGGCCGAUGUCAGAUUAGGUAGUUGGUGGGGUAAAGGCUCACCAAGCCAACGAUCUGUAGCUGGUCUGAGAGGACGACCAGCCACACUGGAACUGAGACACGGUCCAGACUCCUACGGGAGGCAGCAGUGGGGAAUUUUGGACAAUGGGCGCAAGCCUGAUCCAGCAAUGCCGCGUGCAGGAAGAAGGCCUUCGGGUUGUAAACUGCUUUUGUACGGAACGAAACGGCGAGCUCUAAUACAGUUUGCUAAUGACGGUAC